UGGCUCCUCUGUCCAGUUUACUCACCUCUGGGAGACUGGCUACAGGUGGUCUAUCCACGGCUACACAGGGGUCUCUAUCCUGGACUAGACGUCUCUAUCCUGGAUUAGACGUCUCUAUCCUGAACUUACUCUCCGCCUGAUCUCGUAGACUUGCUCCAUCUAGGAGGCGGACUCCCCCUUCAA